rnacentral:rRNA from 1 species
UACGGAGGAUCCAAGCGUUAUCCGGAUUUAUUGGGUUUAAAGGGUGCGUAGGCGGCCUAUUAAGUCAGGGGUGAAAGACGGUAGCUUAACUAUCGCAGUGCCUUUUGAUACUGAUGGGCUUGAAUGUACUUGAGGUAGGCGGAAUGUGACAAGUAGCGGUGAAAUGCAUAGAUAUGUCACAGAACACCAAUUGCGAAGGCAGCUUACUAAAGUAUGAUUGACGCUGAGGCACGAAAGCGUGGGGAUCAAACAGG